UGGGGAAUAUUGCACAAUGGGCGCAAGCCUGAUGCAGCCAUGCCGCGUGUGUGAAGAAGGCCUUCGGGUUGUAAAGUACUUUCAGUCGGGAGGAAGGUGGUAAGGUUAAUAACCUUAUCAAUUGACGUUACCGACAGAAGAAGCACCGGCUAACUCCGUGCCAGCAGCCGCGGUAAUACGGAGGGUGUAAGCGUUAAUCGGAAUUACUGGGCGUAAAGCGCACGCAGGCGGUUGAUUGAGUCAGAUGUGAAAUCCCCGGGCUUAACCCGGGAAUUGCAUCUGAUACUGGUCAGCUAGAGUCUUGUAGAGGGGGGUAGAAUUCCAUGUGUAGCGGUGAAAUGCGUAGAGAUGUGGAGGAAUACCGGUGGCGAAGGCGGCCCCCUGGACAAAGACUGACGCUCAGGUGCGAAAGCGUGGGGAGCAAACAGG
rnacentral:rRNA from 1 species